GCACACAACCUUUUCUCUCUAGACUGUAGAGAGAAAAAUGUAACUGAAAUAUCCCUGACCAAAAAAAAAAAAAAAAAAAAGAAAGAAAAGAGAAAUCCCUGAUUGAUACACUCCCCUAUGCCGUGUUUUUCUAUAGCUACUGUCCUACUUGAACCGACAGGAUAGAAGUUUCUGGAACACAGAAGCCACAGCCUCUUUGCCUUUGUGCUCCCCCAGCAGCACACACAGGGCCAGUCCCAUAGAGACACUCAGAGAUGAACACUGGAGGACUGUCUGGAUGAGGAGUGAAUACUCUCAUCGUCCUGGCCCAGGCAGGAUCCAGCCCAGGGUCCUGAGACCCCUGCCCUCUCCCCGAGCCUGACGUGACAAUGGGCAACCCUACCCUGGGCUUCCUGUGUGCCACACCCAGCCUGUGGCUCCAGCCAGGGGGUAGCCAGAAAGCGGUGACUGCCCAGAUUACCACAGCUCUGUGUCCACAGGGAUACAUCUCAAAGACAAUAAAGAUCUAUGCAGACCUGCAGCAUGAAAGAAUCCUGCCCUCUCUCCCAAAGCACAUGGGGGUUAGUUGUGGGGAGAAAGACUUGGUCCUCAGUUGAGAGAAUUCGAAAUAUUGUGAGUGUAUGAGGAAGGGGGAACUCUGCCCCUACACGUUGUUCUGCCU
rnacentral:lncRNA from 1 species